rnacentral:lncRNA from 1 species
UAGAACAUAUAAUAGUAUCUAAUCUACCAAGAUCACCACAAAUACUCCAUAUACCAUCCACAACACCAAGGGUGACUCCCAUCAUCACCUCACUUUCAUUCAUAUGUCCAUUGAUAGUACAAGGUAUGCCUUCUUAUUUAUAUAAUUUAGAUACUUUACUUAAGUGAAAAAUAAAAUCUCUUCCUUUCUAUCUGGAUGAAUUUCACUCAUGGCCAACCUUUGAUUUUGAACUUCCACUCUUUAUAGAUCUUAGUGAUCAUGAAGAAACUACCUUGAUGGACAAAUUCAAAGUUUCUUCACCAACC